GGGCAAUCCAGCGACAGCGACAGCAAUCGGUAUAAAGAUGAAGUUGACCCGUUUCAUAUACCAUCCGACUACACAUGGGUUGAUGCAAAUGAGAAGAAACGCCGCAUAAAAGCAAAGAAAGCAAAGAACAAGAAGCAUAAGAAACAAGCUGCUAAAGGCGGAAAUGGAGGACUACAAAUGAGUGAGGACGUGGAAAAGUAACUUUUUAUAGGUGAUUUCUGCAGCCAUGCCACUUUGAGAUCCUUCUGCAACAGAUAAAGGAGGUAUGCUUAUCUCCUAUUUGAAUUUAACCUCUUUUUCUAUUCGUCACAUUGAAAUAUCAUGAGCAUAGAGGAUCCACGGG
rnacentral:misc_RNA from 1 species